rnacentral:rRNA from 1 species
AGCGGCGGCACGCCUAUACAUGCAAGUCGAACGGAGUAGCAAUACUAGUGGCAGACGGGUGAGUAACAUGUGGGUAUCUUCCCUUUGGUGAGGAAUAACACGAGGAAACUUGUGCUAAUACCUCAUAAGUCUUUACGGAGAAAGCUUUAUGCGCCAAUGGAUGAGCCCGCACUUGAUUAGUUUGUUGGUGGGGUAAUGGCCUACCAAGACUGUGAUCAAUAGCUGAUUUGAGAGGAUGAUCAGCCACAUUGGGACUGAGACACGGCCCAAACUCCUACGGGAGGCAGCAGUAGGGAAUCUUGCACAAUGGAGGAAACUCUGAUGCAGCGAUGCCGCGUGAGUGAAGAAGGCCUUUGGGUUGUAAAGCUCUUUCGUCGGGGAAGAAAAUGACUGUACCCGAAUAAGAAGGUCCGGCUAACUUCGUGCCAGCAGCCGCGGUAAUACGAAGGGACCUAGCGUAGUUCGGAAUUACUGGGCUUAAAGAGUUCGUAGGUGGUUAAAAAAGUUGGUGGUGAAAUCCCAGAGCUUAACUCUGGAACUGCCAUCAAAACUUUUUAGCUAGAGUAUGAUAGAGGAAAGUAGAAUUUCUAGUGUAGAGGUGAAAUUCGUAGAUAUUAGAAAGAAUACCAAUUGCGAAGGCAGCUUUCUGGAUCAUUACUGACACUGAGGAACGAAAGCAUGGGUAGCGAAGAGGAUUAGAUACCCUCGUAGUCCAUGCCGUAAACGAUGUGUGUUAGAUGUUGGAAAUUUAUUUUCAGUAUCGCAGCGAAAGCAAUAAACACACC